rnacentral:tRNA from 1 species
UUCUAGUAGCUUACGCAUUAAAGCGCUGACCUUGUAAAUCAGAAACGGACAAGCCCUGUCCCUAGGACA